rnacentral:rRNA from 1 species
GACGAACGCUGGCGGCGUGCCUAAUACAUGCAAGUUGAGCGCUGAAGGUUUGUACUUGUACCCACUGGAUGAGCAGCGAACGGGUGAGUAACGCGUGGGGAAUCUGCCUUUGAGCGGGGGACAACAUUUGGAAACGAAUGCUAAUACCGCAUAAAACUUUAAACACAAGUUUUAAGUUUGAAAGAUGCAAUUGCAUCACUCAAAGAUGAUCCCGCGUUGUAUUAGCUAGUUGGUGAGGUAAAGGCUCACCAAGGCGAGGAUACAUAGCCGACCUGAGAGGGUGAUAGGCCACAUUGGGACUGAGACACGGCCAAAACGACUACGGGAGGCAGCAGUAGGGAAUCGUCGGCAAUGGACGAAAGGCUGACCGAGCAACGCCGCGUGAGAGAAGAAGGGUUUCGGAUCGGAAAACUCUGUUGGUAGAGAAGAACGUUGGUGAGAGUGGAAAGCUCAUCAAGUGACGGUAACUACACAGAAAGGGACGGCUAACUACGUG